GACAAGAUGGCGCUACACGUUGCUCAGUCAUAUUGCUCAGAGUUUCGCCCAUGUCGGUUUAGAUCGUCCGUCUGCCGUUUCGUUCUGCUCUGCAAUGCAACAAAUGUUCACCAUAUUUGAAAAAAACCUGAAAACCAGUUGCUGUAACCUGCGAUAAGGAUCUUGUCUGUGCCAGCUAUGAUUCACUAUCUUUUAUAUUCCAACAACGCUAUCACAGGAAGGGGUGUGCCCCUCUCGGCGUGUGCCAAUAUCUAAAGCAAAUUGUUACGUCCAACAUCAAGUGCUGUGACACAGAUUUCUGCAAUUAGAUGUCCAUAGAGCUGAACCACGACAUCUCUGAACUGAGAGACGACCUCGUCAUGUUUUCUGUUAUUUUUGUUGCUGUUGUUUGUAAAUCAUAUAUUCAGCAAUGACAGUCUAUUUAGUUUAUUCUCUCUGAUGGUCUUUUUAGUGAGAUCCUGUACUUUCCUAAUAAAUUCUUUUAA